GAAGGCCGUAUGCUUUGGAAGAAGCUUGUACAGUUUGGGAAGGGGUUUUAUGAGAGAAAAGAAGAAUCUACUUCAAC
rnacentral:ncRNA from 1 species